AGAAGAAAGGGAAAAGAAGAGGCAUUUCAUCUUAAUCUGCUCUUGACUUGCGUAGAAGGAGGAAAACAGAGAGGUUGUAGUUUCAGUGCUCAAGAAUACAAGGUGACCGUGAAGGUUAGUGCGUAAAGGGAUUUCUAUGCUUAAAAGCUUACUAAGGUUGUUGAUCGAGGUUAAGACAAGGGAGGUCACUUUUUUUGGGAUUAAAGGCUCUAGGAUAUUAGUCUAGUGCCUUGUGUUAGAUGGGGACUCCUUCUAAUC